GACGAACGCUGGCGGCGUGCUUAACACAUGCAAGUCGAACGGAAAGGCCCUGCUUUUGUGGGGUGCUCGAGUGGCGAACGGGUGAGUAACACGUGAGUAACCUGCCCUUGACUUUGGGAUAACUUCAGGAAACUGGGGCUAAUACCGGAUAGGAGCUCCUGCUGCAUGUGGGGGUUGGAAAGUUUCGGCGGUUGGGGAUGGACUCGCGGCUUAUCAGCUUGUUGGUGGGGUAGUGGCUUACCAAGGCUUUGACGGGUAGCCGGCCUGAGAGGGUGACCGGCCACAUUGGGACUGAGAUACGGCCCAGACUCCUACGGGAGGCAGCAGUGGGGAAUAUUGCACAAUGGGCGGAAGCCUGAUGCAGCAACGCCGCGUGCGGGAUGACGGCCUUCGGGUUGUAAACCGCUUUCGCCUGUGACGAAGCGUGAGUGACGGUAAUGGGUAAAGAAGCACCGGCUAACUACGCG
rnacentral:rRNA from 1 species